rnacentral:rRNA from 1 species
CUACGGGACGCAGCAGUGGGGAAUAUUGGACAAUGGGCGAAAGCCUGAUCCAGCAAUGCCGCGUGUGUGAAGAAGGCCUGCGGGUUGUAAAGCACUUUCAAUUGUGAAGAAAAGCCUGGUGUUAAUACCACCGGGUCUUGACGUUAACUUUAGAAGAAGCACCGGCUAACUCCGUGCCAGCAGCCGCGGUAAUAGGGAGGGUGCGAGCGUUAAUCGGAAUUACUGGGCGUAAAGCGCACGUAGGCGGUUUGGUCAGUCAGAUGUGAAAGCCCCGGGCUCAACCUGGGAACUGCAUUUGAUACUGCCGAACUAGAAUGUGGUAGAGGGAAGUGGAAUUCCAGGUGUAGCGGUGAAAUGCGUAGAUAUCUGGAGGAACAUCAGUGGCGAAGGCGGCUUCCUGGACCAACAUUGACGCUGAGGUGCGAAAGCGUGGGUAGCAAACAGGAUUAGAUACCCCCGUAGUC